rnacentral:lncRNA from 1 species
CUACAAAAGUGGUAACAGCAAAGUCCAAGACAUCCCUUCAUAGAGAGCACUGGAGCUAAGGAAAUUUUUUUCUAGUUCUCCAGCUAACAAAUGAACACCUCAGUCCUCUGAGUCAUUUCAGAAGAGAGGCGUUGUCGGAACUACCCCUCUGGUGCAGCAUCAGCAAAACCAGACAGACCGGCAGUGCUUCCCGUGCUCUUCUGCUCAUUAGUCCUGUGAAGGGUGCAGAGACGCAGAUGAAUAUUUGCCAUGCCAGAAGAAUUAUCAGCAGACUCAACUCCUGUGGGUCCAGCCAGCAUGACUGAUCCUGCAGUCCGGAUUUGCCCCCGUUUCGUCAGGAGAGGUGGUGACAGAGCAGGUGUCGCACCGUUAACCCAGCAAUACUGAGAGUGUGUCCCAGGUACAGUGCAUCUUCCUUGGCUUAGCACUGCCCAGGUCCUGGCUUAGCCCAAGGGGCUGCGGGUAGAAGAGUAAAUAGAGGUGGCUCUCAGGAUCCUUCAACAAAGCAGAGAAAGAGAGGAUUGCUCAAACCAAGCUAUCUAGA